rnacentral:rRNA from 1 species
UACGGAGGGGGCAAGCGUUGUUCGGAGUCACUGGGCGUAAAGGGCGCGUAGGCGGUGUAUCAAGUCAGGCGUGAAAGCCCCGGGCUUAACCUGGGAAUUGCGCUUGAUACUGAUACGCUAGAGAACGGGAGAGGAUGGCGGAAUUCCCAGUGUAGAGGUGAAAUUCGUAGAUAUUGGGAAGAACACCGGUGGCGAAGGCGGCCAUCUGGACCGUUUCUGACGCUGAGGCGCGAAAGCGUGGGGAGCAAACAGG